UACGUAGGGCGCGAGCGUUGUCCGGAUUUAUUGGGCGUAAAGAGCUCGUAGGCGGCUUGUCGCGUCGUUCGUGAAAACUCACAGCUCAACUGUGAGCUUGCGGUCGAUACGGGCAGGCUAGAGUUCGGUAGGGGAGACUGGAAUUCCUGGUGUAGCGGUGAAAUGCGCAGAUAUCGGGAGGAACACCGGUGGCGAAGGCGGUUCUCUGGGCCGGGACUGACGCUGAGGAGCGAAAGCGUGGGGAGCGAACAGG
rnacentral:rRNA from 1 species